rnacentral:rRNA from 1 species
GACAGAGGUGCCAAGCGUUAGGCGGAAUCACUGGGCUUAAAGCGUGUGUAGGCGGGUUCCUAAGUACCUUGUGAAAUCCCCCGGCUCAACCGGGGAACUGCUGGGUAUACUGGGUGCCUUGAGCCAACUAGGGGCUGCCGGAACAAGUGGUGGAGCGGUGAAAUGCGUAGAUAUCGUAAGGAAGACCAGUGGCGAAGGCGGGUCUCUGGACAGUUCCUGACGCUGAGGCACGAAGGUCAGGGGAGCAAACGGG